rnacentral:rRNA from 1 species
GAUAUGGCUCAGGACAAACGCUGGCGGCGUGCCUAACACAUGCAAGUCGAACGAAGCACAUUGGAAAGAGACUUCGGUCAAUGGAAAGUGUGACUUAGUGGCGGACGGGUGAGUAAUGCAUGAGCAACCUGCCCUGGAGAGGGGGACAACAGCUGGAAACGGCUGCUAAUACCGCAUAAUACUGCGGGAAGGCAUCUUCCUGCAGUCAAAGAUUUAUCGCUCUGGGAUGGGCUCAUGUCUGAUUAGUUAGUUGGCGGGGCAACGGCCCACCAAGACUACGAUCAGUAGCCGGACUGAGAGGUUGAACGGCCACAUUGGGACUGAGAUACGGCCCAGACUCCUACGGGAGGCAGCAGUGGGGAAUAUUGGGCAAUGGGCGCAAGCCUCGACCCAGCAACGCCGCGUGAAGGAAGAAGGCUUUCGGGUUGUAAACUUCUUUUAUCAGGGACGAAGAAAGUGACGGUACCUGAUGAAUAAGCCACGGCUAACUACGUGCCAGCAGCGGC